CCUACGGGUGGCAGCAGUGAGGAAUAUUGGUCAAUGGCCGGGAGUCUGAACCAGCCAAGUCGCGUGCGGGAAGACGGCCCUACGGGUUGUAAACCUCUUUUGUCAGGGAGCAAGGUGCAGGUCGGGACCUGCUUUGAGCGUACCUGAAGAAAAAGCAUCGGCUAACUCCGUGCCAGCAGCCGCGGUAAUACGGAGGAUGCGAGCGUUAUCCGGAUUUAUUGGGGUUAAAGGGUGCGCAGGCGGAGGCACAAGUCAGCGGUAAAAUCGCGGGGCUCAACCCCGCUCCGCCGUUGAAACUGUUGCCAUGGAGUGCGCGAAGGGUAGGCGGAAUGCGUGGUGUAGCGGUGAAAUGCAUAGAUAUCACGCAGAACUCCGAUCGCGAAGGCAGCUUACCGGGGUGCAACUGACGCUCAUGCACGAAAGCGUGGGUAUCGAACAGGAUUAGAUACCCGAGUAGUC
rnacentral:rRNA from 1 species